AAUCCAUAGGUUAAUGAGGCGAACCGGGGGAACUGAAACAUCUAAGUACCCCGAGGAAAAGAAAUCAACCGAGAUUCCCCCAGUAGCGGCGAGCGAACGGGGAGGAGCCCAGAGCCUGAAUCAGCAUGUGUGUUAGUGGAAGCGUCUGGAAAGGCGCGCGAUACAGGGUGACAGCCCCGUACACAAAAGCGCAUGUGCUGUGAGCUCGAUGAGUAGGGCGGGACACGUGGUAUCCUGUCUGAAUAUGGGGGGACCAUCCUCCAAGGCUAAAUACUCCUGACUGACCGAUAGUGAACCAGUACCGUGAGGGAAAGGCGAAAAGAACCCCGGCGAGGGGAGUGAAAAAGAACCUGAAACCGUGUACGUACAAGCAGUGGGAGCACAGGUUUACCUGUGUGACUGCGUACCUUUUGUAUAAUGGGUCAGCGACUUAUAUUCUGUAGCAAGGUUAACCGAAUAGGGGAGCCGGAGGGAAACCGAGUCUUAAUUGGGCGUUAAGUUGCAGGGUAUAGACCCGAAACCCGGUGAUCUAGCCAUGGGCAGGUUGAAGGUUGGGUAACACUAACUGGAGGACCGAACCGACUAAUGUUGAAAAAUUAGCGGAUGACCUGUGGCUGGGGGUGAAAGGCCAAUCAAACCGGGAGAUAGCUGGUUCUCCCCGAAAGCUAUUUAGGUAGCGCCUCGUGAAUUCAUCUCCGGGGGUAGAGCACUGUUUCGGCUAGGGGGCCAUCCCGGCUUACCAACCCGAUGCAAACUGCGAAUACCGGAGAAUGUUAUCACGGGAGACACACGGCGGGUGCUAACGUCCGUCGUGAAGAGGGAAACAACCCAGACCGCCAGCUAAGGUCCCAAAGUCAUGGUUAAGUGGGAAACGAUGUGGGAAGGCCCAGACAGCCAGGAUGUUGGCUUAGAAGCAGCCAUCAUUUAAAGAAAGCGUAAUAGCUCACUGGUCGAGUCGGCCUGCGCGGAAGAUGUAACGGGGCUAAACCAUGCACCGAAGCUGCGGCAGCGACACUGUGUGUUGUUGGGUAGGGGAGCGUUCUGUAAGCCUGUGAAGGUGUGUCGUGAGGCAUGCUGGAGGUAUCAGAAGUGCGAAUGCUGACAUAAGUAACGAUAAAGCGGGUGAAAAGCCCGCUCGCCGGAAGACCAAGGGUUCCUGUCCAACGUUAAUCGGGGCAGGGUGAGUCGACCCCUAAGGCGAGGCCGAAAGGCGUAGUCGAUGGGAAACGGGUUAAUAUUCCCGUACUUGGUGUUACUGCGAAGGGGGGACGGAGAAGGCUAUGUUGGCCGGGCGACGGUUGUCCCGGUUUAAGCGUGUAGGUGUGUGUUCCAGGUAAAUCCGGUUCACUUUAACACUGAGGCGUGACGACGAGGCACUACGGUGCUGAAGCAACAAAUGCCCUGCUUCCAGGAAAAGCCUCUAAGCAUCAGGUAACAUCAAAUCGUACCCCAAACCGACACAGGUGGUCAGGUAGAGAAUACCAAGGCGCUUGAGAGAACUCGGGUGAAGGAACUAGGCAAAAUGGUGCCGUAACUUCGGGAGAAGGCACGCUGACACGUAGGUGAAGUGAUUUACUCAUGGAGCUGAAGUCAGUCGAAGAUACCAGCUGGCUGCAACUGUUUAUUAAAAACACAGCACUGUGCAAACACGAAAGUGGACGUAUACGGUGUGACGCCUGCCCGGUGCCGGAAGGUUAAUUGAUGGGGUCAGCGCAAGCGAAGCUCCUGAUCGAAGCCCCGGUAAACGGCGGCCGUAACUAUAACGGUCCUAAGGUAGCGAAAUUCCUUGUCGGGUAAGUUCCGACCUGCACGAAUGGCGUAAUGAUGGCCAGGCUGUCUCCACCCGAGACUCAGUGAAAUUGAACUCGCUGUGAAGAUGCAGUGUACCCGCGGCAAGACGGAAAGACCCCGUGAACCUUUACUAUAGCUUGACACUGAACAUUGAGCCUUGAUGUGUAGGAUAGGUGGGAGGCUUUGAAGUGUGGACGCCAGUCUGCAUGGAGCCGACCUUGAAAUACCACCCUUUAAUGUUUGAUGUUCUAACGUGGACCCGUUACCCGGGUUGCGGACAGUGUCUGGUGGGUAGUUUGACUGGGGCGGUCUCCUCCUAAAGAGUAACGGAGGAGCACGAAGGUUGGCUAAUCCUGGUCGGACAUCAGGAGGUUAGUGCAAUGGCAUAAGCCAGCUUGACUGCGAGCGUGACGGCGCGAGCAGGUGCGAAAGCAGGUCAUAGUGAUCCGGUGGUUCUGAAUGGAAGGGCCAUCGCUCAACGGAUAAAAGGUACUCCGGGGAUAACAGGCUGAUACCGCCCAAGAGUUCAUAUCGACGGCGGUGUUUGGCACCUCGAUGUCGGCUCAUCACAUCCUGGGGCUGAAGUAGGUCCCAAGGGUAUGGCUGUUCGCCAUUUAAAGUGGUACGCGAGCUGGGUUUAGAACGUCGUGAGACAGUUCGGUCCCUAUCUGCCGUGGGCGCUGGAGAACUGAGGGGGGCUGCUCCUAGUACGAGAGGACCGGAGUGGACGCAUCACUGGUGUUCGGGUUGUCAUGCCAAUGGCACUGCCCGGUAGCUAAAUGCGGAAGAGAUAAGUGCUGAAAGCAUCUAAGCACGAAACUUGCCCCGAGAUGAGUUCUCCCUGAGACUUAGAGU
rnacentral:rRNA from 1 species